UGGGAUUGGGGUGGGUAGCCGGGGUUUUACCCAAUACCUACAAGUCCAAAGGGCGGAUAGUUGCAUGGGUAGCCUGUGUUUACCCAGUUCGGUAGUUACAAGUCAAAAGGGUGGGUAAUUAUGAAGGUUCCACGUCAUUAAAAAAAAAAAACAAAAAAAAACACAGAGGAUAGUUUGAAAAAAUUUAAUUUUGAAACAUUCAUACACUUAUGUUGAGUAGUUCUGUGUCUCCAUCCAUUUUACUUCGGGCCUGGCCGAAAUGUGGGCCUAAAAUAAUUCAGUCGCUGCAUGGUCCAUCCAAAGCUGAAUGAUACUUAGCCCAGCAAUUCGUAGGUCAUUUUUCUUUUUCUCUCUUUUUUUUUUUUUUUUUUUUUCUUACUCCACUCUCACUCCCUCACUCUUAUAAGAAGCUUCUCCAACGUUGGCUAUCAAUUUUCCACAUUGCAGGGUCUGAAAGGAAAUGAUGCGGCUAUGAUUAAAUGCAGUAAUACCCAGGAAAGUUUUCAUGCGUCUGCGAUUAUGUUGCAAUCUUCUUUGUUUUUUUGUGAUUUUUUCUAUGUGAUUCUUGCUAUUAUUAAUGGACAAGCACAUUAUUGGAAUUUGAAUUGAGGAAUCUUUCUAAUUGGAUGUUUGGAAAAUAUAUAAUAUAUGCGCGUGUGGGUAUAUAUAUUGUGUUGUUAGGUUUUCUUGAUUGAAUCUGAAUAAAUCUUGACCCAAGUUCAAAGCUUUUCCCGUAUUACAUUACUUAACUUUCAUAGUUGAUACUUAAUUGAGUUGUUAAUUAGUUUAGCUAGCUUGUUUGAGUUCAAGAGCUUGUCGUAACAUUGUUUUUUAUUUUUUUAUUUAUUUUUAUUUAUAUAUAAUAUUUUUUUAUGACUUUCUAAUACUUCAAAUUUUACAACACACACACACACACACACACAGCUUUACUAAAGCAAAUUAGUGAUUCGUUUACCAAAAAAAAAAAAAAAUUUGGUGAUUACAACUACUACUCUUAGGCUUUAUAUAAUUUGUUAAUCUAUUCAUUGAUACCCUUUCUUUUUUGCAGGGUUAUGGUACCUAGUUUGGUCAAGUUUGGGUUGUCGAACAGAUUGAAGUUUAAAACUAAUGAUUGAGCAUGAUUUGUUAAUCAAGUAGUCUUUGAGGCUUGUAUGCUUGUAUUUGAGUUAGCAGUCUGUACUGGCUGGAAACAUUUAGUGCUAGAACACCAGCUGAGCUGGUGUAGUAUGUGAUUAGCUCUAAACUACGCUCCUGACAACACGACUCUCUUGGGGUUGAAAAGAAGGAGCUUACAGGUUCAAGGUAUAAGGUGGCAGGCCAGUGAAUUAAGUUUCCCCCUUUACAUCUUCUAGCUGUUGGGUAUCUUAAGUUCUUUAUUCCAAGUGCUAUGGGCUUGUGGCCUUUGUAAUUUGGAGGGUCUGGAAUGGCAGUGCUUUGAUUCAGGUAAUUGCUGGUUUUUGAUGCUCAAAUCAAGCUGGAAUUUGAGGGUUGGCCGACCUAAAAUAUUAGGUCACAAGCAAGCAGCACAUGUGUCCUUGAAUGUCAUAAAUGAUUUAUUUGCCACUGAACAGUGAUGGAGAAUAGUUAAUGACUAUUUGGUAUGAAGAUCUGUGCACUUCUAUCUAGAUCUUCCCACGAACACCGUAGGAACUUUGUACAUUAAUGAUCGAUUAUGUAUAAUGCAUGCAAAUAUUGUAUCUGAUCUAUUUAUAUAAAUGAUAAUCUCUC